GACGAACGCUGGCGGCGUGCUUAAUACAUGCAAGUCAACUUGACUUUAGAUAGCAAUAUCGAAAAGUAGGGUGGCGCACGGGUGCGUAACGCGUAGGUAAUCUGCCCUGAGGUCUGACAUAACCCGUCGAAAGGCGGGCUAACAUCAGAUGAUAUAUAAUCACGACAUCGUGGAAAUAUCAAAUCUUCGGAGCCUUGGGAUGAGCCUGCGUCUGAUUAGGUAGUUGGCGGAGUAAUAGCCCACCAAGCCUACGAUCAGUAGCUGGUCUGAGAGGAUGAUCAGCCACACUGGAACUGAGACACGGUCCAGACUCCUACGGGAGCAGCAGUAGGGAAUAUUGCUCAAUGGGGGAAACCCUGAAGCAGCAACGCCGCGUGAAGGAUGAAAUACUUUUGUAUGUAAACUUCUGUAAGAUGGGAAAAUAUUCUCCUCGGGAGAAUUGAUUGUACCAUCAGAGUAAGCCCCGGCUAACUAGGUGCCAGCAG
rnacentral:rRNA from 1 species